UACGAAGGGGGCUAGCGUUGCUCGGAAUCACUGGGCGUAAAGCGCACGUAGGCGGCUUUUUAAGUCAGGGGUGAAAUCCUGGAGCUCAACUCCAGAACUGCCUUUGAUACUGAAGAUCUCGAGUCCGGGAGAGGUGAGUGGAACUGCGAGUGUAGAGGUGAAAUUCGUAGAUAUUCGCAAGAACACCAGUGGCGAAGGCGGCUCUCUGGGACGGUACUGACGCUGAGACGCGAAAGCGUGGGGAGCAAACAGG
rnacentral:rRNA from 1 species